rnacentral:misc_RNA from 1 species
GAUGAAGAACGUAGUGAAAUGCGAUAAGUAAUGUGAAUUGCAGAAUUCCGUGAAUCAUCGAAUCUUUGAACGCACAUUGCGCCCCCUGGUAUUCCGGGGGGCAUGCCUGUCCGAGCGUCAUUGCAACCUUCAAGCGCGGCUUGUGUGUUGGGUCUCGUCCCCCGUGGACGGGCCCGAAAGGCAGUGGCGGCGUCCCGACAUGGUGCCCGAGCGUAUGGGAAUCCUCUUCCGCUCGAAUCGGCCCAUGCGGCGCUGGUCGUAACCAAAUUUUUUACCGGUUGACCUCGGAUCAGGUAGGGAUACUCGCUGAACUUAAGCAUAUCAAUAAGCGGAGGA